AGUCUAUCUUGAUAAUUAUUGAUUUUUGUCUUUCAAGGCCACCAGAAGCUGCAACACUCAUAAUCUGCUAGAGACCAGAACCUCCUGGGUCCAUAAGCAGCUGGCCUCCCAGAUCAGACAAACAUCACAGCUGAAGUUGGACAGGAAACAUUUCUGCCCUGCAGAUCUCCUGAUAAUAAACCUGUUAUUGCUGUUGAGUGGAUUAGAUCUGAUCUGGGGUCAGAAUAUGUUCUUCUGUACAGAAAUAGGAAGAUUAAUCUAGAACACCAGCAUGUGAUGUUUAAGGACCGAGUGGAUCUGCAGGACAGACAGAUGAAGGAUGGAAACGUGUCUUUGGUUCUGAAGAACGUGACGACUGACGACAGAGGAGCUUAUGAAUGUCGAAUCAUUCAGACAAA